rnacentral:rRNA from 1 species
AUUGAACGCUGGCGGCAGGCCUAACACAUGCAAGUCGAACGAGUGGCGGACGGGUGAGUAAUGUCAGGGAAAAUGCCAGAUGGAGGGGGAUAACUAAUGGAAAAGGUAGCUAAUACCGCAUACUAUAAGAUGAGCCCAGAUGGGAUUAGCUUGUUGGUGGGGUAACGGCUCACCAAGGCGACGAUCCCUAGCUGGUCUGAGAGGAGGACCAGCCACACUGGAACUGAGAAACGGUCCGACCUCCUACGGGAGGCAGCAGUGGGGAAUAUUGCACAAUGGGCGCAAUCCUGAUGCAGCCAUGCCGCGUGUAUGAAGAAGGCCUUCGGGUUGUAAAGUACUUUCAGCGGGGAGGCGUUACCCGCAGAAGAAGCACCGGCUAACUCCGUGCCAGCAGCCGCGGUAAUUC